CACAAAUGAACUUUAGUAGCUUUCAAACACAAUGAAAUAUGUUGUGCGGGUUUUCAAAUUUCAAACCCCCUAAACAUUUUCAGAUCUUGAACUAAACCACCUCUCCUCAGACCUCUCCCCGCUACUCCAUUGUUUUCGCCAUCAUUCCAGCUUCUUCCCUUAUUUUCUUUCGGCAAAAAAAGAUCUAGAGAAACUCAGAGCCCGUGUCAGUUAAGUACAAAGCAGGAGAGAUCGACAAUGAUUCUUGUGCUCCACCCAAACAUCUUCAAAGGAGGCAAGCUUAAAUCUCCAUCACAUAGAUCUGAGUUUGAGACCAAGUUGCAAGAUCGCUGGGUUUCAGUCUAGAUAUUGUUUGUGCCCAAGAUGACAUGUGCACGGGAAGUAAUCUACUACGCGAUUGCAGAUGCAAGGUAUCUACCUUAUGCAUCCAAGAUUUUCUAUAGGCUUGUAACUUUUUUGUCAUGUUACUGAUCUGCAAGGUAUCUACCAUAGCGUUACUUGUUUUAAGAUCUAUCAUGUUACUGAUCUGCAAGGUAUCUACCCAUCCAGUUCAAUCCAAAACCAGAUUGUUUAGGUGAUAAAUUAGGCUGAAAUCUUAGUUUAAAUGUUUGAAUAUUAUUGCUUGUAAUAUGCUGGUGAAAAUUUUGUUUUUUAGAAACAGGAACCCUUUUGAAAAUGUAAGUCUUGGUACCAUUACUUUAUAAUUACAUUUGUUUGGCAAUCACAUAAUUCUUUAUUUUCCUCAGUUUGUUAAAUGUUUGCUUACAUGUGCAGGAAAUGGGAAGGUAGGUCAUGUGAAUCAAGCAAAUACAUGUGCCUGUUCAGUGGGUCGGUGCUUGUUUGAACAUGUUUUGUUUAUUGUUAUAUUUUCUUGAUAUAUUAACUAAUCCAGGAUUGGUUUGGGAUCUUUGCUCUUUGAUGCUCAUAUUAUAUAUGAUGGAAUGUUGCAAGCAGCUUCUUUUGAAUGGUAUUAAAUUUAUAAAAGUUGAUUUGUUUCUAUCAUCCCUUUUUUAUUAAUCUUUUUAAAACUUGCUGGAUUAAAUAUAAUGCUAGCUAAUCUAUUUUUUUUUGUACAAUACUGGCUCUUAUAUGAUAGAAUAAGAAAUUCAAAUGGGCAAGCUUCCAUUGUGCAAUAUUGUUAGUUGUGAAAGGAUAGCCACUAAGUCCAUGUGUAGUGGUCACUCCUCAUAACCCCCAUUUAGCUUCCGUUGUGAAAUAUUGUCUGUUUUGCCAUGCGCAGGACGCCAAACAUGUUAUGACUACCCAAAUCACUGCUGCCCGACUUUUUAUUACCUAACUUUUGUUUUGUUAACUGGUAAACGCAGGUUAGGCAAUAUAUAACAACCUUGAGGGGAAUACGGGUGGAGGUAAAAUACCCUACUUUUUAACAUUUAUUAAGUUGGUUCAAUGUGUUGCCUCAAUACAUAAGCGGGUAAAAAUUGUCAGAUGUAUAGUAUCGUAAAAUUUGAGAAAAUAUUUACUAGGAUCGAAUUCAUGAUGCUUAUCUGUGUGUUUCUUUGUGUACAAAACUAUUAGAAAAUUUUAAAUAUCUUCAUAUAUCCAAACACGACUGGCGCCAUUCUUUUAACAAAACGAAAAGGAGAUGCGUGUUUUGCAUAUGUAAGAAAAAAUAAUUUUUGUUAGGUUUGGGCUUUGGAAUGGCGUAAAGACUGGUUUUGUUUCAUGUUCUUAUUACUUUAUUCUCAAUCACUAGACUCAUGCAUAGUUUCCAGCCUUUCAUAGAAAGAGGCAAACGUUGACUUUAAGGUCAGAAUUCUAAUUUUUUAUUUUCAGAUAUCAACAAGAUUUUAUAACUUAACAGUAGUCUAACUCUCUUGGUAGUUCCAUUAGUAAAGUAGCAUAAACCAGUAUUGUGUUGCAAUUUCUCACCCCGAGAGGAUUAAUAAAGUAGCAUAAACGAGUAUUGCGUUGCAAUUUGUCACCCCGCAGCAUCGCGCGGGUAUCAUACUAGUUAGAUAUUACACAUUUGGCCUGUUAGCUAACAAAAGUGCUGAUAGGAAAAAUGUUUUAAUAUGUAAUGUAAAUGCUAUUUUACAAAUUGAUUUUCUAAGUUUUAGGUGAAUUAUAUGGUUGGGAGAUCUUACUUACCGCUUUGAUUUGUCAUACGAGGAAACACGUGAUUUGAUUUCCAACAAUGCAUGGUCCAAGUUGUUAGAAAGCAGAGAUGAGCUCGGUACCAACCAGGUAGUGAAAAUCCCCAAAAAUGUGUACGGUACCGGUACGGAAAAUCCAAAAAAUGGGUGCCGGUACCAAAAAUCCAAAAGUCGGUACCUAAAAUAUUUUGGUUCGGGUUAUUCGGUCUCGGUAUUUGGUACCUUUGCUCAUCCCUAUUAGAAAUUGAUCACGUCUCGUGGUGGUAGCACUUCAAACCGUGGUGCCAAAAGUGGUACAGGUCGUUAUGCUAGCCGUGGUUCUAGAUGGGGAACCUUUACCAAUAUUCGCAUUGUUAAUAAGCUAUUAAACGGGGAGUCAAGAAAAAUGAAGGUAUAAUUUCUAUUUUCUCAUUAUUUGGGGUUUAAUUUUUUGUAACUUUCUUAUGUGAUGCUUUUAGUAGGAUUACUAUUGAACUAAUAUAGUUUCAUAUUGCUUAUGUUUAUGCAUGUUUAGGUUGGUUGUCUUUUUCUUUUGGUUAUGCAUCUAUAACUUUAUCAUUUCCCUCCUAACAUGUUUCAGAUUUGAGAGUUCUUUUCGUAGUUUAUCCUUUCAAUUUAUGUUUUUUGUUUCUUUGUUAGU